rnacentral:rRNA from 1 species
ACUCAAAUGAAUAGACGGGGGCCCGCACAAGCGGUGGAGCAUGUGGAUUAAUUCGACGCAACGCGAAGAACCUUACCAAGGCUUGACAUGCCAACGCAACGUAUAGAGAUAUGCGUGUCCUUCGGGACGUUGGACACAGGUGGUGCAUGGUUGUCGUCAGCUCGUGUCGUGAGAUGUUGGGUUAAGUCCCGCAACGAGCGCAACCCUUACGUUCAGUAGCUAACGGUUAAAGCCGAGCACACUGGAGGGACUGCCGUGGAGAACACGGAGGAAGGUGGGGACGACGUCAAAUCAUCAUGCCCCUUAUGUCUUGGGCUUCACACGUGCUACAAUGGCAUACACAGCGUGACGCAAAGGGGCGACCCGGAGCAAACCACGAAAGGAUGCCUCAGUUCGGAUUGCAGUCUGCAACUCGACUGCAUGAAGUUGGAAUCGCUAGUAAUCGCGGAUCAUCAUGCCGCGGUGAAUACGUUCCCGGGCCUUGUACACACCGCCCGU